rnacentral:lncRNA from 1 species
GGAGCAUUCACUCGUUUGAGUAGUUCGAGCAGCUAUUCAUGGUGCACUUCAGCACCAACUGAAGGGUAUCGUGGACCUCCGACAGCCUUUUCUCCAUCAGACAGUAGGAUAGAGAGUUUCUAUGAGAUUUUGUGGCGUGCUUCAAUGCUGCCACUUUAGAGGUUAAAGACCUCAGUGAGCCGAUGGCGAUCGCCGUCAUGAAAUGGAGACUGCGUAGCUCCAGGUUCAUUUAUUCUUUAGAUAAAAUACUUUCUCGGACCUAUGCCGAACUUUUUGAGCGCACACAAAAGUACAUCCAUACUGAGAAAGGUGUGAUCGAUCGACGUCAGUCUGAAG